rnacentral:rRNA from 1 species
GACGAACGCUGGCGGCGUGCCUAAUACAUGCAAGUCGAACGCAGUGGGGACGGGUGCGUAACACGUGGGUAACCUCCCAUCAGAGGGGAUAACACUUGGAAACAGGUGCUAAACCCAUACGGAUGGAUGGACCCGCGGUGCAUUAGCUAGUUGGUGAGGUAACGGCUCACCAAGGCCACGAUGCAUAGCCGGCCUGAGAGGGUGAUCGGCCAAACUGGGACUGAGACACGGCCCAGACUCCGACGGGAGGCAGCAGUGGGGAAUCUUGGGCAAUGGACGAAAGCCUGACCGAGCAACGCCGCGUGAGUGAAGAAGGUUUUCGGGUCGUAAAACACUGUUGUUAGAGAAGCGGUAUCUAACCAGAAAGCAACGGCUAACUACGUGCCAGCAGCCGCGGUAAUAC